rnacentral:rRNA from 1 species
AGAGUUUGAUCCUGGCUCAGGACGAACGCUGGCGGCGUGCCUAAUACAUGCAAGUCGAGCGGACAGAUGGGAGCUUGCUCCCUGAUGUUAGCGGCGGACGGGCGAGUAACACGUGGGUAACCUGCCUGUAAGACUGGGAUAACUCCGGGAAACCGGGGCUAAUACCGGAUGGUUGUUUGAACCGCAUGGUUCAAACAUAAAAGGUGGCUUCGGCUACCACUUACAGAUGGACCCGCGGCGCAUUAGCUAGUUGGUGAGGUAACGGCUCACCAAGGCAACGAUGCGUAGCCGACCUGAGAGGGUGAUCGGCCACACUGGGACUGAGACACGGCCCAGACUCCUACGGGAGGCAGCAGUAGGGAAUCUUCCGCAAUGGACGAAAGUCUGACGGAGCAACGCCGCGUGAGUGAUGAAGGUUUUCGGAUCGUAAAGCUCUGUUGUUAGGGAAGAACAAGUACCGUUCGAAUAGGGCGGUACCUUGACGGUACCUAACCAGAAAGCCACGGCUAACUACGUGCCAGCAGCCGCGGUAAUACGUAGGUGGCAAGCGUUGUCCGGAAUUAUUGGGCGUAAAGGGCUCGCAGGCGGUUUCUUAAGUCUGAUGUGAAAGCCCCCGGCUCAACCGGGGAGGGUCAUUGGAAACUGGGGAACUUGAGUGCAGAAGAGGAGAGUGGAAUUCCACGUGUAGCGGUGAAAUGCGUAGAGAUGUGGAGGAACACCAGUGGCGAAGGCGACUCUCUGGUCUGUAACUGACGCUGAGGAGCGAAAGCGUGGGGAGCGAACAGGAUUAGAUACCCUGGUAGUCCACGCCGUAAACGAUGAGUGCUAAGUGUUAGGGGGUUUCCGCCCCUUAGUGCUGCAGCUAACGCAUUAAGCACUCCGCCUGGGGAGUACGGUCGCAAGACUGAAACUCAAGGAAUUGACGG